rnacentral:rRNA from 1 species
UAGGGAAUCUUCGGCAAUGGGGGCAACCCUGACCGAGCAACGCCGCGUGAGUGAAGAAGGUUUUCGGAUCGUAAAGCUCUGUUGUAAGAGAAGAACGUGUGUGAGAGUGGAAAGUUCACACAGUGACGGUAACUUACCAGAAAGGGACGGCUAACUACGUGCCAGCAGCCGCGGUAAUACGUAGGUCCCGAGCGUUGUCCGGAUUUAUUGGGCGUAAAGCGAGCGCAGGCGGUUUAAUAAGUCUGAAGUUAAAGGCAGUGGCUUAACCAUUGUUCGCUUUGGAAACUGUUAAUCUUGAGUGCCGAAGGGGAGAGUGGAAUUCCAUGUGUAGCGGUGAAAUGCGUAGAUAUAUGGAGGAACACCGGUGGCGAAAGCGGCUCUCUGGUCUGUAACUGACGCUGAGGCUCGAAAGCGUGGGGAGCAAACAGG